rnacentral:lncRNA from 1 species
UUUGUUUUAAAUGCUAGAAAUUAUAUAAAACAUUAAUUCUUGAAAAUUUAAAUUGACUAAUUUUGUUUUAUGAGAAUAACUUUAAAAGCUCACUUUUUAAAAUUUUGAUCAAUGAACCUCGAUGAAUUGAAUAUUAUAAAAUAAAACUUGUAAUUGAGGAAUAUUAUCACUUAAUAUACCAAAAAAAAAUUCAAAUCUAUAUAUACCUUUACCCGCAAAUAAACUCGAUAGCUCAAUCAUGUUUUCAAUUAUCUAUCUAACAUCAUAGGCAACUAAAUAUAAGAAUCAACUCCAACAAGAAAAAAAAAAAGAGGCAUCUAUGAUAAGAUUAGUUAAGAUUCCACUUUGAAAUUUUUAGAAUAAAUAUGGAAUAGCUAGAAUUAGGCCUCUCAUUUGAAAUUAUAUAAUUUAAUUAAUAUAAUUUACAAAUUGAUAUAAUAUAUUUCUAUGAUACACGUGCAUCGCACGUGCAUUUUGCUAGUAUAUAAAAAGUGGAGAUCUCAGAUGUUAAUGGAAAAUUGUGCAUGUGAGGCUGAAUCAUCUAUCUUUCUCAAAAUUAAAAUUGUAUUCAAAAGCAAUAAAUAAUGCUCACUUUUCAAGGGCUUUUCUACCUUAGAAUUAAGAAAAGAGAUUGGGAAUCUUAGUAUUAAAUGUGGAUGAAAAGAGAUUGGGAAUCUUAGUAUCAAAGGUAGAUUUCACUCUUUACAUUGUGGAAAGUGAUUCAUGGUCCUUCUAUAAAAGCAAUAUAGACCAUAAAAAUCAAUUAAG